GGGGGCGUAGCUCAGCUGGGAGAGCACCUGCCUUGCAAGCAGGGGGUCAAGAGUUCGAAUCUCUCCGUCUCCA
rfam:Eubacterium sp. 14-2 genomic scaffold acPFD-supercont1.3, whole genome shotgun sequence.